rnacentral:rRNA from 1 species
CGGACGGGUGAGUAACGCGUGAGAAUCUGCCUUCAGGUCGGGGAUAACAUGCUGGAAACGGCUGCUAAUACCGGAUGAGCCGAGAGGUAAAAGCAAAAGUGCCUGAAGAUGAGCUCGCGUCUGAUUAGCUAGUUGGUGGGGUAAGAGCCUACCAAGGCGACGAUCAGUAGCUGGUCUGAGAGGAUGAUCAGCCACACUGGGACUGAGACACGGCCCAGACUCCUACGGGAGGCAGCAGUGGGGAAUUUUCCGCAAUGGGCGCAAGCCUGACGGAGCAAUACCGCGUGAGGGAGGAAGGCCCUUGGGUUGUAAACCUCUUUUGUCAGGGAAGAAGGUCUGACGGUACCUGACGAAUCAGCAUCGGCUAACUCCGUGCCAGCAGCCGCGGUAAUACGGAGGAUGCAAGCGUUAUCCGGAUUUAUUGGGCGUAAAGGGUCCGCAGGUGGUUAUUCAAGUCUGCUGUCAAAGCGCGGAGCUUAACUCCGUACAGGCGGUGGAAACUGAGGAACUAGAGUCUGGUAGGGGUCGCGGGAAUUCCCAGUGUAGCGGUGAAAUGCGUAGAUAUUGGGAAGAACACCGGCGGCGAAAGCGCGCGACUGGACCGGAACUGACACUGAGGGACGAAAGCUAGGGGAGCGAAAGGGAUUAGAUACCCCUGUAGUC